AACAAUGCAAUAAUAAUAUAAUGUAACAUAACAAUAGUAAUAAGGAUAUAAUAUUAGUAAAAAAUGAUAUAUAUAAAAAAAUGAAAAGAAGGACUGAAUUGAAUUUUAAACAAAAAUGGGGGCUGAUUUAAAAAAAAUUAGAAAGGGAUCCAUUUGAGUGCGCGCGUAACAGUGGAGGACCAAAAGGGAAAUUGUCCCCUUCCUCCAAAACGCUGCGCAGCAUGGGACAGAAUUGAAACAAAAUAAGAUAUGCGGCCCAAUUUCUGAAAUAAGUAAAAAGGAUUUAAUUGAAAAGCGUUGCAAAAAGGGAGGGUCCAAAUGCGUAAUUUCCCCUUUAGGCCAGAUUUGCGUAGGUCAUACCACCUAAACGGCGCCGUUUUACUUAUAGAAUUAAUACCCAAAAUUUCCUUUCAAAAGAACAUCACUGCUUCAUUCUUUUUUGUUUUAAAACAAUAAACAGAGGGGGGGGGGGAAAUUUUUGCUAAGGUUUUCAACCCCCCAGCCCUUCAUGCCGCCGCCGCCGCUCAAGCCAUCCACGGCUUCCGACGACGCCCCAGCCUCCGAUUGCGACGGAGAGGGGUCACCGCAACGGCACGUCGACUCUGGCGAUUAGGUGAGUUUUCCUUCUCCUUUUUUGAUUUUUGUUUACAAAAAAAAACAAUAAUAAUAGUAGAAAGUAUACAAAAAAAAGAAACCCGAUUCGCCUUUGCAUUUUAGAAAUUUCUGUGUUUUUUAUUCUAUUUUCUUAUCUUUUUUACACCGAAAAUGCCCCCCCCCAUUACUGUGCCUGAGAUUGGCCUUUUUAUAGUCGAAAAUGGAAAAGAAAAAUAAAUAAAUAAAAUCAAAUAAAAUCAAACAAAAUCUAUACUAUUGCUUUUUUUUGCUAUUCUGUUUUGUUUCUGUUCGUUACUGCAGGUGUGGCGUGGAGCGAACGGCGCAGGGAAGGCGCGCAAGAGGCGGCGACGAACGUGGCUGCUGUUGAGGGCGGUGGCUGGUAUUUUUCUUCUUAGGGUUUCUAUUUUUUUUGUUUUUUUGGGCUAGGUUUGGUUUGGGCUUAGGUUUAGUUUAUUGGGUUUGUUUAUUUGCUUGGGCCCGGGCAUUAUUGGGCUUGUACAAUAUGAAAAUAAAUAAGAUAAAGACAAUUGUAUGGUAACAAAAUUUGUACAUGUGUAAUAUAUGUAUUUGUACACUUGUAAUAUAAUUGUAUAUUUUCUUGAAUUUUAAGUAAAAAGAUAUUUAUUAUUUAUUAUAAGUACUAAGUUAAGAGAUAUUUAUUAAUUAAAUAAUUAAAUUAUAAGAUUUUUGUGUGAUAAAUAAAAUAAAUGGUGAUAAAUGCAUGGUAUAGAUGAUAUUGUACAUUUAUAAAUAAAAUAUAUAUAUGUACAUUUGUAACAUUAUUAUUUGUUGUUAAAUAUUAUGUGUCUUGUAGCUUCUUUUAUAUUUGGCCGAGUUAAUAUAGAUCAUAUGAGUUUGAACAUAAUAUUUUAAUUCUAAAUUUAAAUUCAUUAAUUUUUACAUUUACCUUUAAAGUUAAAAUUUUAAUAGAAAUUUUAAUUUAAGUAAAUUUUUUAUCCUUAAAAGUAUAUAGUUUAAAGUUUAAAUAUAAAAAAUAAAACAUUAUAUAAUAUUUAUCAUAGAAAUAAAUAUUAUUUAAUUAAUUUUUGUUAAAAUUUAUGUUUUUAGCGGCGUUUGUGAAAAAGCGUCGCUAAAAGUCAUUUUUAUAGCGGAGUUUGUAAUAUAAGCGCCACUAAAAGUUAUGACCUAUAGUGGUGUUUGUGGUAGAAGUGCCGCUAAAGGUCAUGGUAUUUAGCGGCAUUUGUGGGAAAAGCGCCGAUAAAGGUUAUGGUCUUUAGCCGGUGUUUGUCGGAAAAGCGCCGCUAAAGGUCAUGGUCUUUAGUGGCGCUUGUGGGAAAAGCGCCGCUAAAGGUCAUGGUCGUUAGCGGCAUUUGUAGGAUUGCACCGCUAAAGGUCAUGGUCUUUAGCGGCACUUUUUCCACAAACGCCGUUAAAGGUCAUGAUCUUUAGCGGCGUUUAUUUCUGAAAACGCCGCUAAAGUUAGCGACUCUGUCAUUAGCGGCGUUUUUUGUGGCGCUUCUAAAAGCGCCGCAAAUACUUUUAGCGCUGCUAAAGGUCAUGGUCUUUAGCUGUGCUUUUUCCACAAACGCCGCUAAAGGUCAUGAUCUUUAGCUGCGUUUAUUUCUGAAAACACCGUUAAAGUUAGCGACGUUGUCAUUAGUGGCGUUUUUUGCGGCGCUUUAGUGACGCUAAAAAGCGCUGCUAAAGGCCUAAAAAAGCGCCACUGAAAGCCUAUUUUGCUAUAGUGAAUAGAUUUUUAUUAAAUAAAUAAAAUAAUUGACAAAUAAAUGGUAUAAAAUUUAUACAAGUGUAAUAAAAUAAAUAUGUACAAAUGUAAUUAAACAAUUGGUUUCCUUAAUAUUUAAGUAUAAGAUAUAUUAUAUUAAUAUUAUAUUAAUUAUUUAGAAAUUAAAAACAAUAAAGCAAAUAAAAUAAAGUAAAAGAAAGAAACAGAGAAGAAAAAAGAACAGAAACUCUUUCGAAGACAGGGGAAAGAAAGACGAAAAAGAAAGAAAAAGGGAAAAUAGGGUUUUUAAAGCUUGGAGUUUAAUUUGGUAAGUCAAUUAAGCCAUUUUCUCUUAAUUUAGAUGUUUUUGAAGUUUUAAAACAAGGUUUUGAUGGAAUUAAGUUGAUAUUUUGUAAGUUCUUAGGUUUUCAAGUAUAGUUUAUGUUGAACAAAAGAGAUGAAUUAGGGAUUUAAUUGAAUGAAUUUCAAGUUAGAAUUGAUAAAAGGAUUAAAUUGUACAAGAAACUAUAAUUUUUAUGUUUUAGGGAUUAAAUUGAGAGAAAUUCAAAAUUAGGAAAAUAUGCUAAAAUUUUAAUAGUUACAUUUGAGUUUGGAUGAAAUUUGAAUAGAAAUAGAGGGUGAAUUGAAUUAGGAAAGUAAGUGAACUUAGUUAGGAUUAAAUUGAGAAUAAGGAAGAAAUUGAAUAGAAAUUUAAUUAUUUAUCAUAAUUAGUGCUGAAAUUAAUAGUGUAAAUUAUUAUUAUUUUCAUAGCUAGCAAAGAACCAGAAGCAUCGGCACGGGAGGGAAAAGAGAAGAUUAUCGAGGAGUAAACUCGAGAAAAUCACGGUUUGUAUUACUAUAAUUCAAGUUAUUUAUUAUUAAAUGUUAAAUUUUAAUUUAUGUGUUUGGUAAAAGAAAUAUGAGGUAAGUAUUAUUAUUAUUAUUAUUAUUAUUAUUAUUAUUAUUAUUAUUAAGAUGAGUGGGAAUUAAAUUGAAUAGUUGAUAUGAAUUAAUAUUUGAAUUGUUUGCUGCUUGAAAGCGGGAAGUGAAUUUGAAUCGAAUUGUGACUGAUAUUAAAUUGAAUGAAAAUGUAUUGAGUUGUGAAAAUGUGUGAAAUUUUGGAUUAAUUAUUGAUUGAAGGUGGAAAAAUGAUUGAAUUGAAAAUGUGAGAAAUUGUGAUUGAAUUGGGGUUAUAUCUGAUUUAAAUACCCUAUUAACUAGUCGGGCUAAGUCGGAUAUAGUUGGCAUGCCAUAAAAUUGGAAGAGUUUCAGGGAUACUUUGACCUCGAGUCGAUGGGACACUGGGUGUCACUAUAGUUCUUCGGAUAGAUUCGAUGAGGUACUCGGUACCAACUUUCUUCGGCUCUGUUGAUGAGACACUGGGUGUCAACUAUUGCUUCGAACUAUCCGAUGAGGCAUUGGGUGCCAUACUGGAGUGUUUGGUUGGAUCCGUGUAUCCGCCAAAGUCCGAGUUUUGUUAAUAGUGUAAAUUAUGAAAUAAUAAAUUGAAUGAGUUGAUCAAUCGAGCUAUUGAAAUGAAAUGAAAAGUUGAAUUGUGAAUUGAAAUGUUAUAUGAGAUUGAGAAAUGAAUCUAAGGUUCAUGAUAUGUUCAAAGCUCAAAUUGUGGAUAUAUGAUAUUAAUUGAUAAAUUAUUAUUGUUGUAUUAUGAAAUUUGAGUUUAAACUUGUAUGUAUGAUUUGUGCAUGAUAUGUUUGAUGAUUAUGUUUUAUUGUUAUUAUUAUAAUUUUAAUUAUGGCAAUACUACUGAGUAUGAAAUACUCAGCGUACAGUUGUUUUCGUGUGCAGGUCGAUAGAAAUCAAAGGUUCCGGUUCAGCAUCCAGAUCAAUCCUGACUCCAGCAAAAAGGUUUUGGUGAUGUUUUCUUCCUUAAGUGAAAG
rnacentral:lncRNA from 1 species